rnacentral:rRNA from 1 species
AUGAUUAUCCUUGCCUGGAACUGCCGAGGAUUGGGGUUGGACUCGGCAGUCGGCGAGCUUCGAGACCUGGUUAGGUCAUACAACCCAGAGGUGGUGUUUUUAUCGGAAACUAAGAAGAGAGCGGGAGCGAUGGACAAGCUUAAGUGGAGUUUGGGUUUCUCAAAAGGGGUGGCGGUGGACUGUAAAGGAAAGAGUGGAGGUUUGGCGCUUUGGUGGAGA